UUAUUUAACCUACUGAAGCCCGCUGAACAAAUUCGGGCAUGCAGUGUUUGAUUCUAAAUACGCUUAAUUCUUCUAAAUGGCCGAAGGAGCUGCUUUAUUUUUCUUGCCUAGAAAUUCAGAUCCAGAAAUGACUUGAAGAUUACCAUUUGCCCCUGCGAUUUUUAAAUCAACCCCAACACAGAGAGAGCCCUCAUCAUUUUCCUCUCUUACAAAAAAAUGUUGACCCAACCCUAGAUUUGCAGAAAUCAAUUCCGCGGCGGAGCUCUGGUCUGAUUUGGAGGUGUACUGAAAAUAUCCGUUGCUUACUUUCCCCCAUCACCACGGGUAUACCGGAUCAAGUAUCGGGAAAGUUACAAAAUCAGAGGCUAGACAUCGUCAUCGUGCUCCUGAUCUCGUCUUCUAUAAGCCUAGGUACGCAGUUUUUCAAAAAAUUUGUGAUUUGUAUUUGCUCGGUUAUUAUUCUUCUUGCCAAAAAUAUGUUCUUUUCUUCUCUCUGUUUCUGAGAUCUGAAAUUUCAGUUUGGGAAUGCAACUUCUUCCAGAGACCACGAUAAUCUAUAUUUUUGGGUGCCAUUGUAUUAUGUUGCUAUGUUGAUAAGCCUACAACUUGCUCAUACUUUGUUAUCAAGUUAAAGCCAAUAUCCAAAUCGAUCGAUGAGUCUUUACACCACCAAAUACACGCAACUAUGCUUGUUGCUCGAGGACAUUAUGCCCAUUUAUCGUGAAGAAACCACAACAUUGUUACAUCGUUACAUCCUUGCCCGGUGUAGACGUGAGAGGCGUUGUUGAGCACGCUCAAGAAGAUCCCUGCCCAGUUGAAGUACUUAGACCAGCUACUGCACGUCACAAAUUCUGCUUGUGUAUCCAAUCUACGCAUGGACCAUAACACGUUUGAUAGGUUGUGUCGUUUACUUUCUCAGAGGGGGGCCCUGACAGUAGGUAAUGCCUCGGUGUCGAGGAGCAACCGACAAUAUUUGUAUCUGUAUUGGCACACCAUCAGAAGAAUCGAGUUGUUGGGACUACUUUUUGGCGUUCAGGUGGAACUAUAUCGUAUUAUGUACACAAGGUACUUGCUGCUGUACUUAGCCUUCAUCAUGUACUCCUUUCGAAGCCGGCACUUGUGCUAGAUGAUUGCACCGACCACCGUUCGAAGUGGUUUAAGGGUUGUCUCGGUGCGCUGGACGACACCCAUAUUAAUGUCUUAGUUCGGAAUGAUGACAAACCACGUUAUAGAAUGAGGAAAGGGCAGAUAGCAACUAAUGUUCUUGUUGUGAGUGAUCGUCAAAUGCAGUUUGUGUAUUUGCUCCCUGGUUGGGAGGGCUCUGCACGAGACUCCCGCGUACUCAGGGAUGCAGUUUCACAUGCCGGUGGGCUCAAAGUACCUCAAGGUUGCUAUUACCUUUGCAAUAAUGCUUAUGCAAAUUGCAAUGGGUUACUCACACCAUUUAAGACAGUGCGCUAUCAUCUCAAGGAAUGGGGUCCUGGCACUGAGACUCCCCAAAACCCGAAGGAAAUAUUCAACAUGCGGCAUACCAAAGCUCGAAAUGUGAUCGAACGCACAUUUGGAGUAUUGAAAAUGCGGUGGGGAAUUCUAAGGAGCGUUUCAUUUUAUCCUAUAAAAACGCAAAUCCAUCUAAUCGUGUGUUAAGGAUGAAGUUCCUCCAUGAGUACGAAGAUGAAAGCACUAAUUGUUAAGGAUGAAGUUCCUCAACUCGGAGAUUUUGCGUCGAACAUCGCGGGAGCUUUUGCCCGUCGAUCAAUCCGGCGUCAAAAUUAGGGUUUUGUGUGUUUUGCACGUUUGAAAAGAAGAAGAAUGAGAGAAGCAAUAUGCAUCCAAAAGAAGAAACGCCCAAAUGCGUUUGCGGUAGCGGGAAAAUGGAACUUAAGCGUGCCGGGCCGUCAGCGAUCAAUGCAGGGUGAUAUUACUUGAAGUGUCCAGUCGAAGGGAAGCAUACUGGGUCUUUUAAGUGGUAUGACGAGGUGGCCGGUGACACUUCGCUUCGCAGCUGCAAUAUCCAGGCUGAAAUAGGUAAACGACCUCGAGAUGUACGUGGAACAGAGACUAUAUCUGAAGCAACGUCCAACUCGGUCAUCAGUGGUCCUUACUACAACACCCUUCGCAUGUUGGAGUGGAAGACCAAUGUCCUGAUUUUGUUCACCGGACUCUUGUUGGUAAUGGUCGGAAUGUUGAUAGGGAAAACCAUCUAAAAUGUCGUUGUAUGACUAACUGCUCUAGCUUCUGCGUAUGCUAAUUUUCCAAACUAAAUCGCCAUGACAAAUGUAUUUUCUAGUACAUGUAAAUUACUUACCCAAAAUUUGUGUCUAAAUUAGUAUUAUGCCAAAUUAAAGCUUUCUUUAUCA